CGGUUUCUGUCUGAUCACCGCAGUUAAGCAGCAUCUGGUUCAGUCAGUACUUCGAAGGGUGACCAUCUGGGAAUUCCGCGUGCUGUU
rnacentral:rRNA from 13 species